AUCGUAUGUUGAGUGACCUCUGGGUCAUUGUGUCAACACUAAUUUUCAAUGGAAACUAUAAAAUCAUACUUCUGCUUUAAAGGACACCGGAUCUUGUUGGUGGCUGUGUCCAUCCCUGGCUGUAUUUGGAAAGGGAAGACCUGCAGUAGAGAUGAGAGUUAUUUUAAAG
rnacentral:lncRNA from 1 species